rnacentral:rRNA from 1 species
GAUGAACGCUGGCGGCGUGCCUAAUACAUGCAAGUCGAGCGAACAGAUAAGGAGCUUGCUCCUUUGACGUUAGCGGCGGACGGGUGAGUAACACGUGGGUAACCUACCUAUAAGACUGGAAUAACUCCGGGAAACCGGGGCUAAUGCCGGAUAACAUUUAGAACCGCAUGGUUCUACAGUGAAAGAUGGUUUUGCUAUCACUUAUAGAUGGACCCGCGCCGUAUUAGCUAGUUGGUAAGGUAACGGCUUACCAAGGCAACGAUACGUAGCCGACCCGAGAGGGUGAACGGCCAGCCUGGAACUGAGACACGGUCCAGACUCCUAGGGGAGGCAGCAGUAGGGAAUCUUCCGCAAUGGGCGAAAGCCUGACGGAGCAACGCCGCGUGAGUGAUGAAGGUCUUCGGAUCGUAAAACUCUGUUAUUAGGGAAGAACAAAUGUGUAAGUAACUGUGCACGUCUUGACGGUACCUAAUCAGAAAGCCACGGCUAACUACGUG